AGAAUGACUCUCGACAACGGAUAUCUCGGCUCUCGCAUCGAUGAAGAACGUAGCAAAAUGCGAUACUUGGUGUGAAUUGCAGAAUCUCGUGAACCACCGAGUCUUUGAACGCAAGUUGCGCCCGAAGCCUUCUGGCCGAGGGCACGUCUGUCUGGGCAUCACAC
rnacentral:rRNA from 1 species